rnacentral:rRNA from 1 species
ACUCAAAGGAAUAGACGGGGACCCACACAAGCGGUGGAGCAUGGGGUUUAAUUCGAUGAUAAGCGAAGAACCUCACCCAGGCUUGACAUCUCGGGAACCUCCCGGAAACGGGGGGGUGCCGCAAGGAACCCGAAGACAGGUGCUGCACGGUCGUCGUCAGCUCGUGCCUUGAGGUGUACUGUUAAGUCAGCCAACGAGCGCAACCCUCAUCCUAUGUUGUUUUUUCAUGGGAGACUGCCGCCUCCAAGGCGGAGGAAGGUGGGGAUGACGUCAGAUCAGCGUGGCCCUUAUGCCUGGGGCUACACCCAUGCUACAAUGGCCGGUACAGCGGGCAGCGAAGCCGCAAGGCGGAGCCAAUCCCCCAAACCCGGUCUCAGUUCGGAUUGAAGUCUGCAACUCGACUUCAUGAAGUUGGAAUCGCUAGUAACCGUGGAUCAGCCACGCCACGGUGAAUAAGUUCCUGGGUCUUGUACACACCGCCCGU